UAUAAAGUGGCGAACGGCUGAGUAACACGCGGGCAACCUGCCCUUUGCACUGGGAUAGCCUCGGGAAACCGAGGUUAAUACCGGAUACUCCAUAUUUGUCGCAUGGCGAAUAUGGGAAAGCUCCGGCGGCAAAGGAUGGGCCCGCGGCCUGUUAGCUAGUUGGUGGGGUAGUGGCCUACCAAGGCAAUGAUGGGUAGCCGGGUUGAGAGACCGACCGGCCAGAUUGGGACUGAGACACGGCCCAGACUCCUACGGGAGGCAGCAGGA
rnacentral:rRNA from 1 species